rnacentral:rRNA from 1 species
UUUUUGUUUAUAAUAUAAAGUCUAACCUGCCCACUGAUAAUUUAUUAAAUGGCCGCGGUAUACUGACUGUGCAAAGGUAGCAUAAUCAUUUGUCUCUUAAUUAGAGUCUGGAAUGAAUGGUUGAAUGAAAUAUUAACUGUCUCAAUUUUAAAAAUAUAAAAAUUUAGCUUUUAAGUUAAAAGGCUUAAAUUUAGUUAGAGGACGAGAAGACCCUAUAGAUCUUUAUAAUUUAAUUAUAUUAUAAUAUAGAAAAUUAUUAAAUAAUAUAAUGAAAAUUAUUUUAUUGGGGUGAUAGGAAAAUUUAAUUAACUUUUUUUUGAUUUAAAACAUUGAUUUAUGAAUUAUUGAUCCAUUAUUAAUGAUUAUAAGAUUAAGUUACCUUAGGGAUAACAGCGUAAUUUUUUUAGAGAGUUCAUAUCGAUAAAAAAGAUUGCGACCUCGAUGUUGAAUUAAAGUAAUUUUUAGAUGUAGCAGUUUAAAAUUUAGGUCUGUUCGACCUUUAAAUCUUU